rnacentral:rRNA from 1 species
GCGUAAGGGCUCGCAGGCGGUUUCUUAAGUCUGAUGUGAAAGCCCCCGGCUCUACCGGGGAGGGUCAUUGGAAACUGGGAAACUUGAGUGCCCAAGAGGAGAGUGGAAUUCCACGUGUAGCGGUGAAAUGCGUAGAGAUGUGGAGGAACACCAGUGGCGAAGGCGACUCUCUGGUCUGUAACUGACGCUGAGGAGCGAAAGCGUGGGGAGCGAACAGGAUUAGAUACCCUGGUAGUCCACGCCGUAAACGAUGAGUGCUAAGUGUUAGGGGGUUUCCGCCCCUUAGUGCUGCAGCUAACGCAUUAAGCACUCCGCCUGGGGAGUACGGUCGCAAGACUGAAACUCAAAGGAAUUGACGGGGGCCCGCACAAGCGGUGGAGCAUGUGGUUUAAUUCAAAGCAACGCGAAGAACCUUACCAGGUCUUGACAUCCUCU